rnacentral:rRNA from 1 species
AUACGGAGGAUGCGAGCGUUAUCCGGAUUUAUUGGGUUUAAAGGGAGCGUAGGUGGGAUAUUAAGUCAGCUGUGAAAGUUUGGGGCUCAACCUUAAAAUUGCAGUUGAUACUGGUUUCCUUGAGUACGGUACAGGUGGGCGGAAUUCGUGGUGUAGCGGUGAAAUGCUUAGAUAUCACGAAGAACUCCGAUCGCGAAGGCAGCUCACCGGGCCGGAACUGACACUGAUGCUCGAAAGUGCGGGUAUCAAACAGGAUUAGAUACCCUGGUAGUCCGCACAGUAAACGAUGAAUACUCGCUGUUUGCGAUACAUUGUAAGCGGCCAAGCGAAAGCGUUAAGUAUUCCACCUGGGGAGUACGCCGGCAACGGUGAAACUCAAAUGAAUUGGCGGGG